rnacentral:rRNA from 1 species
AUCGCGGGCACGACCCUCUCUGCCGAGCCCGAUCGCCUCAUCUGGAGAUGGAGCGCGAACGGCGUCUACUCGGCCAAGUCGGCCUACACGGCCACUUUCGCCGGCUCCACGACCUGCGCCGCCUGGAAGCUCACCUGGAAACACUGGGCACCGCCGCGCGUCCGCUUCUUCCACUGGCUCGCCCACCUCGACAGAUGUUGGACCGCCGACAGGCUUGCUCGCCGUGGGCUGCAACACCCCGCACGGUGCCCCCUAUGCGACCAGGCGCCUGAAACCAUGCACCAUCUCAUCCUCGCAUGCCCCUUGGCCCGGCAAACCUGGCACGAGACGCUAAGCUGGCUGCGGAUCCCGUGCACCCCACCUGACGACGAGCCUUCGCUUCUAGACUGGUGGCAAUCGGCGCGACACUCCACCCCCGCGCCCAUGCGCAAAGGCCUCGGUACCGUGACCCUCCUCGUCCCAUGGAUGAUAUGGAAACACCGCAAUGACUGCAUCUUCAACGGAGCGCGCCCAUCUGUGAACACCAUCGUAGCGAAGAUCAAG